CCCCAAAUCGACCAUCCCUCCAACAACCUUACCACCGCCUUUCCAAACCCUAGAUCUGGGCAGUCCGUUCUUCCCCUUCCCCGUGCGCCGCCGCCACUACAUCUCUUCCUCUCCCUCUCCGAUCCACACACGCCCUGCUACGGCCUCACCUCGCUGGCCUGCCUUUGGAUGGAACCGUCCUGGCCUAGUCCUUGCCAGAUCUGGCCGCACCGGUCGUCGGUGCUGCUGGAUAUGGCCGCUCCGGGCCUCAUCACCACCACCCCAAGUGUGCACCUCUCCACCGCCACUUCCCCGUCGUCUUCACAUCCGCCUCGCCCAGUUCCAGAGUAGUCGCGUGUCUCCCGAGGAGCCCGACCCCGGCGGCCUCUCCAUGGACUCCCUCCACCAUAGCUAAGGCAGCGCCACUGCAUCCAGAACACGGUUCAACCUCCAGAACGCUUGUGGCAAGCACCAGAUCGUGAGUUCAAGUAGGUCAACCGCGAGUUGCAUCUACAUCGACAGGUUCUCUUCUUCUUUGUGGGCCUGCACCUUCCACGUGGGCUGUGGAGGACGGAUGGCGCUGUGCUGUUCGGGCUGCAACAUGACCGGCAGCGGUUCUACGUCCCCUCUCAGAGCAGCUCUUUCAUGGUUGUCUGCAUAGGCCUCGUGGCACCAUUGUCUAGGGCUUGUUUGCUGUUGCCCACUUGUACCUCAUGGAAGCCUCAAGCGUGGAAGCCAGCGCACAUAUACACACUCAUUCAGGCUCAGGCAUGAACCAAGGAAAAGUUCACAGCAGAAAACUGAAGCUCUAGCACGUGUGCCAGCCGAUGAAGCUCGCCUUAACCCAUCGCUCAUUGCUAAGGUACCGGCACAUGCUACUCUAUCUGUUGUAUGUUGAGCCAGAAUGUAUGCUACUCUAUCUGUUGUAUGUUGAGCCAGAAUGUAUUUGCCUGACUGAUCAUAAUCCUUGUCUGGUAGGAAACUUAUGGUAUCCAGUACAAAGAUGCCAAAGUUUCGAUAUAAAUUUUGCUAAUUUAUAAUGGUGGCUUCAAAUUAUAGUGAACUAUAUAGGCGGUAGGCGCUCACAUCCUAUUGGCCUUCGGUGACAUUUUGAGCUCUUAUCUGCUGUCUUUAAUUAUUAGUGUGUACCAUCCAACAAAAUUAGCUCUAGUGCUUGGUGUGAAUUUUUUAUGGUUAUUUAGUUUAUUUCAUUGUACAAUGCAUGGUGCUAUGUUUCAUAAGUAUACACAUGCUAUGCUUGGCAUGCAGUUUUGGUGGAAAAAGGAAGCAGAUCAUGCUUACAAAUUGUUUGACCUUGCAUUUUAUUGCUUACUGUUUACUAUACAUUAGUAUUUGUACUUGGAAGUGUCAAAAAUCUGUCAUUAUAAUCAGCUGUAGUAAUAUUGCUAUAGAUAUACACACACUGAAAGUCUGAAAGAUUUCUUGUAAAAGUACAUGUCAGCUGCCAUAUCCUUUCCUAUGUCCUGUUCAGUUUUUUUAAUCUUCUCUUGGUUUGAUGUUAUGAUUUUUGUUACAUAGUUCAUAGAUGUUGCUGGUUUGUACUUUGAAAAUAUUUAAAGUUAUUUUUUUUCUCUUGUUCAAAAUGUUCUGUAUCAAGCUCGUAAGUUUAAGGAUGAGAUUGUUGAAUGCUACAAAAUUUCAUACCUUUGAUUUCAUAAUUCUAUAAAUUCAACCAUUCUAAACUAAACCAACCAGAUCAUAUCCUUAAUUAAUGGGUUUGUAGGUUAAGGGUGGAUACUCAGAAGUAUUUCGGUUGUGUAAGUUCUCGACAUGUUAAUUCGUUCUAGAGUCUCCCUUUUCCUUUCUUUUUACAAUUGUCAUGAUUUUAUAUGGCCUUAGUCAAUCUGUUGUGUCUGGUCUGAUUUGUUAGAUAACUACAAUGUGUGAUGAAUUCUUCAAUUGAUUAGGAAGGCUAGAUGUGUAAAACUUUGUUUAUGGAGCUUGCACAUGAGCAUAUCCAUUUCACCAAAUGAAGAUAAAAGACUCAUGUUCUUGAUGUUUGAACUGGGGAUCCCAUGGAAUUUUUUUUCUGUAACAUGGUUCUCAUCUCUGAACAUGCACACAUGUUGUUUUCAUGUUAAGAUAUUUUUAAAACAAAAUACAGUAACUGACAUCUGUUUCAUUAGCUUUUUAUACUAAUGUUUUACUUCUCUGAACUAAAUUCUUGCAAAUCACAUUGAUCUAGUUGCAGGUCUUCCAUAUACAUCCACAAUCAUGUGGAGGUGUGGUUAAGCUGUGAUCUUUAAAGCAUUGCAAGUAUGGUAACUCUUUGAAUGUUGUUGUUUUACAAGAUGUUGGCAAGUUUGGUAUUUACUAUUUUGAAGACAUCGCAGGAAGUUAUUCAACAAACGGUUGCGACCAAGCAAUUUGUCUUCCUGGACAUGGCUCCUUCUGUGCAUCAAAGCUCGAACCAUUUGUCUAGCUUAGUUUGAAGAAAAAUAAAAUCUUAGUCUUAUGUAAAUUCUGUUUAUUGAUGUAGCUAGAUGCAACUCUACGCACAUAUGUGUUUUGUCAGUUCUGUUUAUUGAUGUAGCUGGAUGUUACUGAACGCAUGUAGGUCUUGUGUAAAUUCUGUUUAUUGAUGUAGCUGGAUGCUACUGAACGCUUGAAUGAAUGUUGAAGUAUUGAUAUAUAGUCAUUAUGUGUAUGAGAUUGAA